rnacentral:rRNA from 1 species
UACGGAGGGUGCAAGCGUUAUCCGGAUUCACUGGGGUUAAAGGGUGCGUAGGAGGGCAGGUAAGUCAGUGGUGAAAUCCCCGAGCUUAACUUGGGAACUGCCGUUGAUACUAUCUGUCUUGAAUAUUGUGGAGGUAAGCGGAAUAUGUCAUGUAGCGGUGAAAUGCUUAGAUAUGACAUAGAACACCAAUUGCGAAGGCAGCUUGCUACACAACUAUUGACUCUGAUGCACGAAAGCGUGGGGAUCAAACAGG